GAACUGUGCAAACGUUAUUCGGAAUCACUGGGCUUAAAGGGUGCGUAGGCGGGUUAGUAGGUCAGAUGUGAAAUCCCACGGCUCAACCGUGGAACUGCGUUUGAAACCACUAGUCUUGAGGGGAUCAGAGGAGAGCGGAACUGAUGGUGGAGCGGUGAAAUGCGUUGAUAUUAUCAGGAACACCGGUGGCGAAGGCGGCUCUCUGGGAUCUUUCUGACGCUGAGGCACGAAAGCUAGGGGGAGCGAACGGGAUUAGAUACCCCGGUAGUCCUAGCUGUAAACGAUCUGUACUAGUCCCGUGGGGACCCCCCACAUCUUCUCGGACGUAGCGAAAGUGUUAAGUACAGCGCCUGGGGAGUAUGGUCGCAAGGCUG
rnacentral:rRNA from 1 species